AUCCGCCUCUUGAGGCAGCCUGGCUGGGAAAGUCUAACCGCGGGGCCCACGCCUUUUCUCAUCAUUUUAGAACCUUAGAGCGAGCUUAAGGAGGGCUGUACUGUUUAGGACAAUCUUGAUUAAUCGUUUCCUUUAUCAACUAGCAUAUUUAGGUUGAUAAGAGAUUUUUAGAACGCUGUCAGUCCAAAUUCAGCAGGGAUGAGGGGCUCAACUUAAUUUUCAAGUAAUAUUAACUAAUACGGCCGGGCGCCGUGGCUCAUGCCUGUAAUCCCAGCGGUUUGGGAGGCCGAGGUGGGCGGAUCGCCUGAGGUCAGGAGUUCGAGACCAGCCUGGCCAACAUGGUGAAACCCCAUCUCUACCAAAAAUACAAAAAUUAGCUGGACUUGCUGGCGGGCGCCUGUAAUCCCAGCUACUAGGGAGGCUGAGGUAGGAGAAUCGCUUGAACCCGGGAGGCGGAGGUUGCAGUGAGCCGAGAUUGCGCCACUGCACUCCAGCCUGGGCGACAAGAGCAAAACUCCGACUCAAAAAAAAUAAAAAUAAAAAUAAAUUAACUCAUACGACCCUCCUAAGUUGCACCUUUCUACAAGCGAGGAAAUGGUGACCCUCAUUGGAGAGCAAAUAAUUUAGAAUCCUUGUUGGAAACCGUGUUAUGGAUGGAUUUAGAAGUCUGUGGCAUUUGACACUAUUGAUACUCCUUCCUUAGUCCAACAAAUAUUUAUUGAAAACGUCCUAUUUAUUUUUUUUGAGAUGGAGUUUCGCUCUUGUUGCUCAGGCUGCAGUGCAAUGGCGCGAUCUCGGCUCACUGCAACCUCUGCCUCCCGGGUUCAAGCGAUUCUCCUACGUCAGCCUUCCGAGCAGCUGGGAUUACAGGCAUUCGCCAACACGCCCAGCAAUUUUUUUUUUUUUUUUUUGUAUUUUUAGUAGGGACGGGAUUUCACCAUGUUGGUCAGGCUAGCCUUGAACUCCUGACCUCAGGUGAUCCGCCCGCCUCGGCCUCCCAAAGUGUUGGGAUUACAGGCAUGAGCCACCGCGCCCGGCCGAAAGCAUCCUAUUGAUAGUCUCUAGGCACUAGCAAUGACAGUCGUGAGCAAAGAAGCUGUAGAUCUUGGUGGAGUUAGAUGUCAAAUUUUCCUAUAGUUUUAAAAUUAUGAUUACAAGUGCUCCAAGGAUGUACCAAGGUUAUAAUAGGAGAAUCUAAUUUAGUUUGCACAUUCUCCUGAGAAAAAUCAGGUACUGGAGCUGAGACGGAUGAGAUUGAAGGGAAGAAAUCUGUACAGAAUCUUCCAACACCCCAGGUUGGAAGACUGAUGUGACUAAACAAUGGGCAAAGAGGAAAGUGGGAUCACCUCCUACCCUUCCAGCACCCUACCUGUGGGCUCCUAACUCUAUCAGUGUUCCCAGCAGCAGGACCUGCAACCUAUUGAUCCAAUUACCUUUCUGCUCUUCCUAACUCCACCACCACCCUUGUUUCUUCUUUUCUUAGCCAGCUUAAAUUCAUUACUAAUUGUUAUCAUCAUCCCUUUGCAAAAUUUGAACAUGGGUUGAGACUUAGUUAAUAUGA
rnacentral:lncRNA from 1 species